CCUACGGGAGGCAGCAGUGGGGAAUAUUGGGCAAUGGGCGCAAGCCUGACCCAGCAAUGCCGCGUGAAGGAAGAAGGCUUUCGGGUUGUAAACUUCUGUCAGCAGGGAAGAACGGUCACUGUGCUAAUCAGCAGUGAAUUGACGGUACCUGCAAAGGAAGCACCGGCUAACUCCGUGCCAGCAGCCGCGGUAAUACGGAGGAUGCGAGCGUUAUCCGGAUUUAUUGGGUUUAAAGGGUGCGUAGGCGGACUGGAAAGUCAGCGGUAAAAUCGAGAGGCUCAACCUCUUUCCGCCGUUGAAACUGUCGGUCUUGAGUGGGCGAGAAGUAUGCGGAAUGCGUGGUGUAGCGGUGAAAUGCAUAGAUAUCACGCAGAACUCCGAUUGCGAAGGCAGCAUACCGGCGCCCGACUGACGCUGAGGCACGAAAGCGUGGGUAUCGAACAGGAUUAGAUACCCGGGUAGUC
rnacentral:rRNA from 1 species